GGGGGCGUAGCUCAGUUGGUAGAGCACCUGCUUUGCAAGCAGGGGGUUGUCGGUUCGAUCCCGUCCGCCUCCA
rnacentral:tRNA from 1 species